GGAGUACCCGGGGCUGUUCAAGUUCUGUUGCCACGUCGGCGUUGAAGCUGAUCCCGACAGACGAGAUGACGUGGACUCAUCUUGGGUCCUGGAGAAGACGAAAGCAUGUGUAGAGAAGAAUUUCCCUCUGUUAGAGCCGAGUCCUGCUAUUACAGAAUAUUGUAUGUAUACGGUGACGCCAGACCACGGAUACGUGCUUGAUAGACACCCCGCAUGGAACAAUGUCGUCAUCGGUGCUGGAUUCUCUGGACAUGGAUUCAAGCUGGCUCCGGUGGUUGGAAAGUUAUUGUGUGAACUUGUCAUGGACAAAACACCUUCUUAUGAUAUGUCGCCUUUUAGGAUCGACCGAUUCAACAAAUCGUCAAAGUUAUAAACAUAAAUUUUAGGUGGGAUAGUUCAAUUAAAUAAAGGUUAACUUCUGUCUUAUAAUUUAUUAGUCCCCUACCGGUGGAACCGGGGGGGGGGGGCUAUAGUUUUCCUCUCUGUCCGUCUGUGUACAUCCGUCUGUGUACGUCCGUACGUAACACCAAUGUUUGUCAGCGCUCUAGCGGCUUCAUUCAUUGAGGAAUUGAAAUGGAACUUCAAACAAAUACAAAGGACCAUAAUAUCGCGGACAAGUUCGAAUUGCAUGGGUGUUAGGUUAAGGUCAAGGUCGCCGUUACUAUUUUUAGAAAACCCUUGUCAGCGCUCUAGCGGCUUCAUUCCCUGAGGGGUUUUAAUUAAACUUCAUACAAUUACAAAAGGCCAUAAUAUCUCGGAAAAGUUUGAGUUUCAGGGUUGUUGGGUCAAGGUCAAGGUCACCGUUACUUUUUUACUUAUUUUGAUCAAACUUCACACAAUUACAAAGGACCAUAACAUCCAAAUUAGACACCAAAGGACACCAUUUUUAUAAAUCGUUACAGUGCAAUAGCUAGCGGCGUCCGGUAGGGGACAUGUAUUGCUUUAGCUAUACUCAGUAUGCUCGUUCCUAUUUAACAAUAUACUUAUCUGACAGCCAAAAUCGUACUCCCGUGAAACAACGACAUGUAUUAACUCCACGGAUGAAUUUUUGUAUUUAUACUAUGUUAUAUUUUUAUAUCCAAGGUGAGAUACAUGUAACUAUCUAUUUUUAUCGGUAUGACUAAAGUUUUGCCGAAAUGUAUAUUAAUGUUUUUCUUCUUGUGGAAAAGUGGAAAAUAUAUUUGCUAUACUUGAAAUAUUUCUAGGACCCAUGAAAACAUUGCCAUUUCGUUGAUCAGAUAUUUUUAAUCUCAAAUACCGAUCGGAUAUUUAGUGUUCACCUGUUGUUGCUAUUAAAAUACAUUCUUUGGUACGUGGAACAAGGGUUUAUCAAGAUUUAACAGUAAAUGAUUUACCGCCAUAGACUUAAAUUUGUAAAAACACAGACGCGAUAUGCAAAUGAAAGUGUAAUUUGUUUUCGAGAAAGACAAUGUCAUUUAACCCUUUUCAGUUUUCCUUCCUUGAGUGGCAUAUGUAAUUAUCUGAUAAUACUACUGUUUCUGCUUUGCAUAUAUAAUUCUCUAGAAGAAACAUUCUACAGGAACAAGACGUUGGCGAUCUCUGUAUAGCCCCCUUGAUAUCUUGAUUGUCCAUUAUCUAAAUGGCUAAUUUUGGGAAAUCAUUAAAUGUUGAUUUUAAAAUGGGAUCCGAUAACAUUAAUGAUGGGUUUCUCAAUUAAUUAUUAAAACUAUUAGCUGAAAUUGUAGACAGGAAGAAAAUAAAGCCAAAACGAAACAAAUCUAUUUUGCUUAAUUUCCAACACCACAUUAUAUAUUCAUUUGAACUUUUGCCUAUUGUUACCCCAGGAUUUGAUUGAGCUGUCGGACAAGAGAUACGUUGUACACUUAUAGACAGCCAUAACAUCCAAGUUUAACACGUUGGACAAUAGCUGCUAAAACCAGACAAAGUAACCGGUUGAAAACCCCUCAUCAAUUCGGUGGGGAGUUAAGUACUUCUAGAUAUCUAAUUGUACAUUGUAGAAUCUAAUCGAACAACGGAUCCAAGGGAACAUUCGUGAAUAUGUCCAAUGUUUAACUAGAAUCUUGUUAUUACAAAACUUUUAGGGGGAAAACCUACAAACAAACCACAUAUUAAUCGUGUUAACCUAUAUAGCACUACUGUAAGUGAACGAUACUGGUACACUCUCAAACCAACACCUAUCUCUUUAAACUCUAACAUUCAGUUCAAUUUGAUCGGCUUUAUAUUUUGUUGAAUGUUGUCAACGGAAAAUAUUAAACAGAAAUAGGCAUAUUGACCAUGUUUGUCUAACUCAAUCAAAGCCUAUUACAAACAGUGUUGGUGGCUAAAAAGUCUAGUUGUUCAAUGUUUUCAAAUAACGACACUGAAACAACGGUACAGUUAUGAUAGGAACGUUCUAAUUAACAAUCGCACUAGAAGCAAUAACAAAACUGUACAUAUAUAUUAUGAAAAAACUGAUUAUACAAAUAAGUACAACAGUAGUACACACGAAUUAGCAAUAAUUACAUGAGCAAUACCGUGAAGAUAAAACUGUCCAUUACAACGAUCUGUAGGAACGGUUAUAUACCAGUUAUAUUGUUAAUAAAAACUGUCAAUAUUAACAUUGAAUAAGCCACAAAACAACUAACUUUAUACUUUAAUAAAUAUAAAUCGACGAGGUUUGAACGCAAUUUAACCGGAAAUAGGUCGUGUCUUGUAUGGGAAUCCUUCCAGUUGCUAUUGUCGGCAGGGUCUCCCUUACCACUAGAGUAAGCGUUGAACUACGACACAAUAAAGUGUUAGCAGACGUCAUCGAUUAAGUUUUUCUUAUAUAAGAAACAGAUCAAUCGGAAACAACUUGUGGAUUAGAGUAAGAUAGAAAACAAAUAACCUUCUAUUGUUUACGGCGUACAAUAAAUUCGCAUUACAUCUCAUAAAUCAUUGUCGUCCAGGACAUAAUAUUACACUAAACAAACCUCAAACAGUUUUAUUCUCCUUUGUGGGUUUUACCUUGUCGAUCGAUCCAUUUACUAUCUUGAUCAUUUUAGCCACAUGUGUAUUACACACUUAGUCGUGUGAAUUGAAAAUAUUGUCUUCUUCCGAAAUGAUGCUUUGGAUAUUUACAGAAUGUAAAGAACAAUGUCUCUUUGAAGAACCCGUAUUGAUUUGAUGGUUACAGAGAAAUGUUUUUUUUUUUCCACCGGAAAUUAUUAGGUUCUUGAUAAUCUUUUUCAAUGUUUUGCAACGUCCAUUUUAUAAAGUUCCUGGCGGAGAUUUUUUAUUUAUUCAUUUUAAAUAUGGUUGUAUGUUUUUGCUUCUGGCAACCAGCUGUUUUCCACUUUUGAGAGAACUGUUAAAAAAAAAAUCAAAGUACUGUAAGCCCUCAAGGAGACGUUAGUCAGAAAUUUGGACAUGGAAAAUAAUGAAAUGUAAAAGUAGAAAUUUGAAAUAAAUCAAUUAUAGAUGCCAACACGAUUAUUGAUAUCAUUCAAGAGCAAGUACUUAUUUCUAAACUAAGAAUUACUAACCAUCAAAGUUACCCGCUUAUCAAACACUGGAACUUCUGAUAAUUUUCAACUGGAACUGUCGCCAGGAAGGCUGACUAUAACCCCAGCUCCCCCCACCAGUCUGAUUCCCACUCUGAU